AUGAAAGGAGGCAAGACGAUGGGCCCUGAUUGUAUCCCCAUUGAGGUGUGGAAAGGUCUCGGGGACAUAGCGAUAGUAUGGCUAACCAAGCUUUUCAACCUCAGUUUUUGGGCAAACAAGAUGCCAGAAGAAUGGAGACGGAGUAUAUUAGUACCAAUCUUCAAGAACAAGGGGGAUGUUCAGAGUUGUACUAAUUACCGUGGAAUUAAGCUGAUGAGCCAUAGAAUGAAGCUAUGGGAGAGAGUCAUUGAGGACCGCUUAAGAAGAAUGACAAGCGUGACCAAAAAUCAGUUUGGUUUCAUGCCUGGGAGGUCGACCAUGGAAGCCAUUUUCUUGGUACGAUAA
rnacentral:rRNA from 1 species